GACGAACGCUGGCGGCGUGCUUAACACAUGCAAGUCGAACGAAGUGGCGAACGGGUGAGUAACGCGUAAUCAACCUGCCCUUCAGAGGGGGACAACACUUGGAAACGACUGCUAAUACCCCAUACUGAAGGGGGGGUUGGCGUCGGAUUAGCUAGUUGGGGGGGUAACGGCCCACCAAGGCGAGGGUCAGUAGGCGGUCUGAGAGGAAGAACGGCCACAUUGGGAAUGAGAAACGGCCCAGACUUCUACGGGAGGCAGCAGUGGGGAAUCUUCCGAAAUGGACGAAAGUCUGACGGAGCAACGCCGCGGGAGUGAUGACGGCCUUCGGGUUGUAAAGCUCUGUUAAGCGGGACGCGGUACCGGAAGAGAAAGCAACGGCUAACUACGUGCCAGCAGCCGCGGUAAUUC
rnacentral:rRNA from 1 species